UGUACUGGAGUAACUUGUUCAAAGCGCAUGGGUUACAGUACAGUACCAUUGUCCCAACAACACAUCAGGGCAAUAAGAACGGCUAGAAAUAGAACUGGCUAUGACUGCAUGUGACUGUUCUGAUGAUUCUGUUCUACGAAGGCUGCUCUUGGAUCCAAUCAUGCUCCAUAAAGGCCAGUGGGUGGAUAUCCGGCCGCUGUCCUCUCACCAGUCCGCUCUCGGUCCUCAGGUCCGUCGCUCUCUCGAAACGAC